GCCCGCGAGGGGGCGUCCGGUAGAAGUCUGACGAUGCAGUACCGAACCGAGCGAAAGCGAAGCGCCGCGGAGGCGUCCGAACCUGCGGGUGAGCUGGCCAACGGCAGCGAAGCCCAUAUCCGUCGGGCAGGUGGGCGUAUAGGCGACGGCGUCGGUACGAAGUUCUGUGU
rfam:Acidobacteria bacterium RIFCSPLOWO2_02_FTLL_65_29 rifcsplowo2_02_scaffold_39293, whole genome shotgun sequence.